rnacentral:tRNA from 1 species
GCCUGGGUGGCUCAGUUGGUUGGGCAUCCAACUUUGGCUCGGGUCAUCAUCUCACCAUUCGUGGGUUCAAGCCCCACAUCGGGCU